CCUGGUGGUUCUAGCGAGGAGCUUCAACCCGAUCCCAUCCCGAACUCGGCCGUUAAACUCCUCAGCGCCAAUGGUACUAUGGCUUAAGCCCUGGGAGAGUAGGUCGCUGCCAGGCCUGCAAAGGACAAAGAAUUCCUCUCUUUACGAUUUCAUUUUAAAAACGCCGUCUCCUCAGUGCUCGCGCACGAAGGGAGGUGGCGUUUUGCGUUGU
rnacentral:rRNA from 1 species